rnacentral:rRNA from 1 species
GAUGAACGCUGGCGGCGUGCCUAAUACAUGCAAGUCGAGCGAAUGGAUUAAGAGCUUGCUCUUAUGAAGUUAGCGGCGGACGGGUGAGUAACACGUGGGUAACCUGCCCAUAAGACUGGGAUAACUCCGGGAAACCGGGGCUAAUACCGGAUAACAUUUUGAACCGCAUGGUUCGAAAUUGAAAGGCGGCUUCGGCUGUCACUUAUGGAUGGACCCGCGUCGCAUUAGCUAGUUGGUGAGGUAACGGCUCACCAAGGCAACGAUGCGUAGCCGACCUGAGAGGGUGGUCGGACACAAUGGGACUGAGACACGGCCCAGACUCCUACGGGAGGCAGCAGUAGGAAAUCUUCCGCAAUGGACGAAAGUCUGACGGAGCAACGCCGCGUGAGUGAUGAAGGCUUUCGGGUCGUAAAACUCUGUUGUUAGGGAAGAGCAAGUGCUAGUUGAAUAAGCUGGCACCUUGACGGUACCUAACCAGAAAGCCACGGCUAACUACGUGCCAGCAGCCGCCGUAA